UUGCCCAAUCAUAGUCCUUAGGCUUGGCCCUCUACUCACAUAUUAUUGAUAGAGAACAAAUCCAAGCAUGUAAGAGAGAUUACGACUGAGUUGCGUUAAGUGACACUCGGUGGUUGAGUUGCAAGCCUGUGUUGCUUGUUAUCUUAGAGGUUGCCACCUUCUAUAUAGCUUGGAGGUUGUGGCUCUAUGUAAGUCCACAUGAAGUUAUGAGUGGCUUCGGAGAAGGCUUUGUGAGGGGUACCAUGCUCACCCAACGGAAGACGUGAACAACAACACUGAUAGAGCGAGGUGUGAAGAGCGGCAAGUGGAUCGACCAGAUCUAGUGCUAGAGCUCAUGUAUGAGCACUGCAUUGGGAGAGUAUGACUUGCGGGUCGCCACUAGCAAGAGGAUCGACUACAACCUUGGGCUUGCCUCAAUAGAAGAAAAAUCAUCGUAAUUGUUCAGCGAAAAAGAAGAAAGAACUUAGCUGAGAGAACAGAUGAGUCAAAUAAUCUGGGCUCAAAUUUCCUUUGAGCGUUGUCCUGUUACCGAUGAGCAUUCCCUCCGCCAUUUUAUUACCAGCUGCGUCGUGCUAGCAGUGCCCCACGUACGUGAAGAUGAGCAGCAGAUUUAAAUGGAGUUGCAGCCUUGCAGAAUCAUGGCGCCUGCCCUGGGAUCUGGCCUGGUCAAUAAGGCCAAGCCCGGGUCAAGACCACAUAUGGUCCAACCAACCUGUCCUUGUCAGCAAAUGGCAACCAAUCCGACUGAUUCCCUGUCUCUCACCUGGGAUUCACUGAGAGCACCUCAUUUUGCAGAUCCGACCUCACCAGAAACACAAAUUCCGCCUCCACAUUCCAUGACCUUGAACUGCCCUUUGGCACGGCUGACAAGAAAGGUGUAGGCAGAUGCAAAGUUGCAAUUGCAACUCUGAAACCAAACAAGCCUACCUCGAUGCCUCUGCAAAAGAAACAUCCAUGGAAUGGCAAGUGGCAACUUUAAACAAGUUUGAACGUCUCCGGGGGCCAGGGCCGCAGCUCCAAAGUGCUUAGGUGGAACUAUCAAGCUUGCACAGCAACUUGAAGGACUAGUUUGGAAGCCAUAAAACUGAAGAGGUUUGCAGAGGCUAAAAUCCUCUUCUUAUUUAAUUUUGGGUAAGAAGGUUUAUUUGAGUCUCUCCAAUCCUCUCCGGUUUUGUGGUUCCCAAACUAGCUCGAAGUGAAAAAAAAAGAUCAGUAAUCAUAUUGGAUGCUGCAAGUCGAACAAGCAAAAAUGAAAAUACAAGGACCAGGAACUGGUUGCACCGUGUUUACUUAUGCUCCUGUCAAGCUUCUAUGAAACACAGUAAAGAACCACCUGAAUGUCAGACCUACAAGGGCAAUUGCAACUAGAAGACCCACCAGUCUGGCAACCAAUGCAGGAAUUGAAAUGGAUAUGAUGCCAAAAGGCUUGAUUUCAUCGCGGUGCAUUUUUAACCGUUUCAAUUCACAUUCAGUCCAAACUUCUGGAGCAAGCGCCAGCUGCAUAAAGAUUUAAACAAGUAGCUUAACUCCACGAAGCUGGAUGAGAAUGAGAAAAGAGGCACUUGCAACCAAAACAUGUCAGAGAUUCAGAAUGUUGUUACAAGGGGAAAUGGCUACACUAGUUUUUUUUUUUA